GACGAACGCGGGCGGCGUGCCUAAUACAUGCAAGUAGAACGCUGAAGGAGGAGCUUGCUCUUCUGGAUGAGUUGCGAACGGGUGAGUAACGCGUAGGUAACCUGCCUGGUAGCGGGGGAUAACUAUUGGAAACGAUAGCUAAUACCGCAUAAGAGUAGAUGUUGCAUGACAUUUACUUAAAAGGUGCAAUUGCAUCACUACCAGAUGGACCUGCGUUGUAUUAGCUAGUUGGUGGGGUAACGGCUCACCAAGGCGACGAUACAUAGCCGACCUGAGAGGGUGAUCGGCCACACUGGGACUGAGACACGGCCCAGACUCCUACGGGAGGCAGCAGUAGGGAAUCUUCGGCAAUGGACGGAAGUCUGACCGAGCAACGCCGCGUGAGUGAAGAAGGUUUUCGGAUCGUAAAGCUCUGUUGUAAGAGAAGAACGAGUGUGAGAGUGGAAAGUUCACACUGUGACGGUAUCUUACCAGAAAGGGACGGCUAACUACGUGCCAGUAGCCGCGGUAAUACGUAGGUCCCGAGCGUUGUCCGGAUUUAUUGGGCGUAAAGCGAGCGCAGGCGGUUAGAUAAGUCUGAAGUUAAAGGCUGUGGCUUAACCAUAGUACGCUUUGGAAACUGUUUAACUUGAGUGCAAGAGGGGAGAGUGGAAUUCCAUGUGUAGCGGUGAAAUGCGUAGAUAUAUGGAGGAACACCGGUGGCGAAAGCGGCUCUCUGGCUUGUAACUGACGCUGAGGCUCGAAAGCGUGGGGAGCAAACAGG
rnacentral:rRNA from 1 species